UGAACUGUUUGGUGUCACAACAUGGCCGACACGUUUUAUUUGGGUUACCACGAAAGUCGGAAUUCGCACAUUCAGGCAAAGUGGCUUACAUCUGGUGGUUUGAUUUUGAAUCACCGAAGACGGUAUAAACCUAUAAACAAAGGGAGCGUAUGCUUGGUUUCAGGAGCGUUAAAGGAUGGCAAGAUGUUUUGGAUUCGUGGUUUGAGUAAAUUUUUUUGAAUUAAGCAGUGUAUGAGAUAUGUUUUAAGUUCGGAAGAUUCAAGAAAUUUGUGUAAUGUAUUGCUCAGUUCCGGACUGUAGAGUUUAUUCAGGAAAAAAUGUUUCAAUGCAUCGUUUUCCUAAGGGCGCAUGUUUUAAGAAUAGGCAAACCAGUAACCAACUAUAUGUAUGUAUGUCAACAUCAUUUUACGAAAGAGGAUAUCUUUUAUAGAGGUAGGUAAUUGUUGUUUUUCUUCUUACUUACUAGGCUCUUAUCAAUAGUGGGUACUAUAAACAGCAAUUUCACCAAAAUGGUAAGGAAUUCCUUAUCUCCGCCUUUUGCAAUAAAUUCAGAAAGGUUUAUAUUAAUAACUAAAAUUUUUACAGAAUUUUUUACUUUUGUUUUAAAGAAGAGGGGCAAAACUAAAUAAUUACCAUACUACAGCUCGUAACCUAUAAUUCAUACUCAAAUCAUAAAAAUGAGAUAUUUAACUUGAAUAUAGGUACAUAUAUAAAAUAGAAAGUAGUUUUUAAAUGAUAAUAUCAUCUAAUCCAGGCCACCAUAAAAUGGCUAUACAUUUAAAAACUGUAAGCAUUCAUGACAUUUUAAAUAUAUUUUUUUAAAGACUCGUAUAAAAGCGAACUUAAAACACUUAAGAAUAAUCUAUAUAGGAAAUUUAAUACUAAAGAUGUUUAUUUAUUUUUAAUUAUUUUAAUUUUUUGUAGGAACAUGUUUUAUUCUCAAGUAUCUUCUCAUUUCUCACAGGAUACUAAUAAUUCUGUAUUUUGAACUCCUUUUGCACUACAUUGUAACCUGUUUUCCCAGCAAAUCAUUUUUCACACCAACACCACCUUCUACUGUGCUCUAUUAGCACUUAUCAUAAGUCUUAAGGAAAAAUAUAAAAUAUAACCAUUUCUGUUAAAUCUUAAGUCAUCAUGUGGUUUGCACACGACCCGUCAAAAUUCCUACACAAAAAUCAUAAACCAUUCCACUACCAUGCAUUGAGUCAUAUUAACUACACAACUAAUUAUGAUUCAUACUUCAUAAUUCUUAAUUUUCAAUUAUAAACCCAGCUUAAGUACAUAGUUCAUGAUUUCGUGCAUUUCAACUACGGGUUCAAACAUUUUAUAAUUAUCACCUACAGACACACGAUAACACAAAUAUCCAUUACAAAUCAACAAUCUCAAUGCAGUCUUUGCCCUCCAUUUUGUUAUAUGCAGUGCUGCGCUCUAGAAGUGCUAAAUCCGCGAAUUUCGUCUUGCAGAAUCAUGCUCGCGACGCGCGGCACUAGUGCGGCACAAUGGUUUACUAUGGAUGCGAGGUUUGUUUACGUUUGAUGUGGCGCGAGGCAAACAGUAUUGUUUUUGUUAAUUGAAUAUUUUAAUCAGGAUGGAUGGCCAAAAAGAUAAAAAGAAACUCAAGCAGUAAUGAAGGAAAUGGUGGAAAUUUUAAAAGAAGUUGACCAAGGCAGGAAAAAUGCAGAUGUGGCACGUUCGUUUGGUUUGGUGUUCACUACACUGUCAACAAUAAUAAAAGAUUGCGAAAAAAUUAUUAAACUGUACGAACAGUCAUCUUUAUCUGCUGGUCGCAAGAGACUUCGGUAAAUAUGUAUUGUACGGAUUAGCGCCAAAAAAAAUCGUACAAAUAUGAAAUAACUUUCAUUAUAUGCUAUCUUACGUCCUCUUUUCAGAACCGCCUGCGGAGAUAAAAAAUUCCAAUUACUUUUGGAGAUAUCGAAUUUUUUAAUAUUCAUUUUUUGGCAAUUUUUUUAAAAAAAAAAUUUUAAAAUCUGAAAAUACCUUUAUUCUGUGCUCUUUAACUUCCUCUUUUCAUUAAACCCAGCGGAGAUCAGAAAUUCCAAAUACUUUAGGAGAUAUGGAAUUUUUUAAUUUUCAUGUUGUGCACUGAUGCGGCGUUUCAGCGGGAAGCCUACGAUUCACACAUCCUUCUGGACAUACCCGAAUACUCACGUUGGCAAGCCUUCUUUUCUUAAAAUUAGCAAGAAGUAAUUAAAAAUACUUUAAAACAUUGUGGAUGGUUGGUUAUAUUAGGUAAGUAUAGCUACAUUAAAAAAAACUGUAAAAUCAUUUUAUGGUUGCUUAGCAAAUAACUUUUUAAUAUGUAGCUAUCCAGCGCUAGGAAACCGUUUUCAUGAUUUCACAGUAUUUUUAAUGUAGCUAUCCUAACCAAAUCAACCAUCCACAAUGUUUUGAAGUAUUUAUAAUGUAGCUAACAUAACCUAAUUGACCAUUAGUUUUCAUUAGUUGCAUAUUUAUUUACAAUAAACAAAAAAAAACCGAAGAUGCACGAUCGGGCGUUUGCCUCUCGUCUGUUGAAAGAAGGCUUGCCAACGUGAGUAUUCGGGUAUGUCCAGAAGGAUGAGUGAAUCGUAGGCUUCCCGCGUUCACCAUUGUUGCUUGUUUACAAGUAUGAUUUUUUUUUUUUCGCGACGUAGUUGAACGACUACAUCACGUAAAAAGAAAAUUACGUGAGUUCCUACUGUUCAUCCUUUUUCCCGGUUUGUUAGGUCAGGUCAGCUACAUUAUAAAUACUUUAAAACUAAACAACAAUUAAAAUUAAUUUUUAUUAUUUUUAAUGUCCGUUCAGUUUCAAAGUAUUUAUACUGUAGCUGACCUGACCUAAUCUACCUUUGUCCCGUUUUGUUAGGUCAGGUCAGUUACAUUAUAAAUACUUAAAACUAUACAAGUAAAAUUAAUUGAUAUUAUUUUUAAUUUAUGUUUAUUUUGAAGUAUUUAUCAUGUAACUAACCUUACCUAAUGGAAAAUUUCUGUUAUUUAGGCAUUCACGCACACACGGCAAAAUAUAAAAUGGCGUCUGUUAAAUGAUUACAUAGGGCUUGUAUUGCAAAAUAAGAACGCCGAUAUCACCAAAAGUAAUUGGAAUUUUUAAUUUCCGCAGGCGGUUUUGAAAAGAGGACGUAAAAGAGCAUAUAAUGAAAGUUAUUUCAUAUUUGUACGAUUUUUUUUGGCGCUAAUCCGUACAAUACAUAUUUACCGAGACUUCGCCUAGGAGAUAACAAGGACCUGGAAAUUGCGCUGAACAACUUUCUGAAGGAUAUGAGGGCACAAAAUGUUCCAGUCACAGGACCUAUGCUGCAGGCUGAAGCAAAUAAUUUUGCUUUCUUGAUGGAUAUCAAAGAUUUUCAGGCAAGUUAUGGUUGGCUUCUUCGAUUUCGUGAACGAUAUGGAAUUUCAUGGAACGUUGUGUCUGGGGAAGAUAAAGAUGCUGAUACGGCAGUUGCAGAGCAGUGGAAAGUCGACAGAUUGAACGGAAUUCUAGAGUCCUAUUCUCCUGACAAUAUAUUUAAUGCCGACGAGACAGCAUUUUUUUUAUAAAAUUCUACCAAAUAAAACUAUGGCAUACAAAGGAGAGAAGUGCACAGUUGGGAAGAAAUCCAAAGAGAGGUUGUCAGUAUUAUUCUGCUGCAAUGCAACUGGAACCACCAAGUUAGUCCUUUAAUCAUUGGAAAAUUCAAAAAUCCAAGAUGCUUUAAGGGUGUUGCAUCACUUCCAGCUGACUACGUCAGCAACACAAAGGCAUGGAUGUCAAAUGAUUUAUUUUAUAAAUGGCUAGUUGAGACCAAUAAAGAAAUGAAAAGGAAAAAAAAAAUCAUAAUUCUGGUUGACAACUGUGCAGCUCAUAAUGUUGAUGUGCGACUUGAAAAUGUAAAAUUAGAAUUUCUUCCUGCGAACUGCACUUCCGUGUUGCAGCCUUUAGAUCAAGGCAUCAUCCAAAAUGCAAAAGUACAUUUUCGGAAGCGGCUUGUUGAGAGAAUUUUGAUCAACAUCAGGUGCAAUUUGCCCACAAAUGCCAAUGUCCGUCAAGCCAUUUAACUUAUAACAGGUGGUUGGUGGAAUGUUAAGGAGGAGACAAUAGCCAAUUGUUGGAGGAAAUCUGGCAUCAUAAAGGCAAGUGAUGAAGAGAGCAGUGAUGGUUUGUCUAUGGACCAGGCAACCACAAGGUCUGCAAGUGAUGCUGUUGCUGGUGAUGGCAUCUCACCAGAAGUUUGACAAGGAGUGUCAAGUACUUUGCAACUAGACAACAUUUCUUUUGAAAACUAUGUAGGUGUUGAUUGUAAUGUCGAAACUACACCACAGUUGACUGAUGCAGAAAUAGUAAAUGAAGUGAUGCAAGCAGCAGUUAGUGAAUCUUCAGAAGAUGAAGAAGUUGAAGAGGAGCCAGUCACUGCAAAAGAAGCCAUGAUGUGCUUUAAAAAACUUUCAGCAUUUCUUUCAUAAACAGAAAAUGUUCCCAUCCAUGUAAUGGAAUCCAUGCACAAUGUUGAACAGUUUGUGCAACAAACACAAAACAUACCAAGCAAACUAAAAUUUCUAAGUUUUUCAAGAAAAAAGAAUAAAAUUUAUUCUUGCUUAGAAGAAAGGCCAACUCUUUUGUUUGAAGUGUGUUUAUGUAAAAACUAUCAAAAAACAUAAUAAAAAAAAGUGGUUAUGCCUAAACUUGCAUGGAAUUUCUUGUUUAUCUGUGUUUUUUAUUUUGAAGUGAACAUUUUUGGUAAAUAUGUAGUGUACGGAUUAGCGCCAAAAAAAAUCGUACAAAUAUAAAAUAACUUUCAUUAUAUGCUCUUUUACGUCCUCUUUCAUAACCGCCUGCGGAGAUAAGAAAUUCCAAAUACUUUAGAAGAUAUCGAAUUUUUUAAUUUUCAUAUUUGGGCAAUAUUUGUUAAAAAAAAAUUUAAAAUUCCAAAAAUACCUUUAUUCUGUGCUCUUUAACUUCCUCUUUUCAUUAAACCCGGCGGAGAUCAGAAAUUCCAAAUACUUAAGGAGAUAUGGAAUUUUUUAAUUAUCAUGCUGUGCACUGAUGCGGCGUUCAGCGGGAAGCCUACGAUUCACUCAUUCUUCUGGACAUACCCGAAUACUCACGUUGGCAAACCUUCUUUUCUUAAAAUUAGCAAGAAGUAAUUAAAAAUACUUUAAAACAUUGUGGAUGGUUGGUUAUAUUAGGUAAGUAUAGCUACAUUAAAAAAAACUGUAAAAUCAUUUUAUGGUUGCUUAAUGUGUUAAAGUAAUGUAGCUAACAUAACCUAAUUGACCAUUAGUUUUCAUGAGUUGCAUAUUUAUUUACAAUAAACAAAAAGAAAAAAAAACCGAAGAUGCACGAUCGGGCGUUAGCCUCUCGUCUGUUGAAAGAAGGCUUGCCAACGUGAGUAUUCGGGUAUGUCCAGAAGGAUGAGUGAAUCGUAGGCUUCCCGCGUUCACCAUUGUUGCUUGUUUACAAGUAUGAUUUUUUUUUUUUCGCGACGUAGUUGAACAACUACAUCAAGUAAAAAGAAAAUUACGUGAGUUCCUACUGUUCAUCCUUUUUCCCUGUUUGUUAGGUCAGGUCAGCUACAUUAUAAAUACUUUAAAACUAAACAACCAUUAAAAUUAAUUUUUAUUAUUUUUAAUGUCCGUUCAGUUUCAAAGUAUUUCUUAAAACUAUACAAGUAAAAUUAAUUGAUAUUAUUUUUAAUUUCCGUUUAUUUUGAAGUAUUUAUAAUGUAACUAACUUUACAUAAUGGAAAAUUUCUGUUAUUUAGGCAUUCACGCACAGACGGCAAAAUAUAAAAUGGCGUCUGUUUAAUGAUUACACAGGGCUUGUAUUGCAAAAUAAGAACGGCGAUAUCUCCAAAAGUAAUUGGAAUUUUUUAUCUCCGCAGGCGGUUACGAAAAGAGGACGUAAAAGAGAAUAUAAUGAAAGUUAUUUUAUAUUUGUACGAUUUUUUUUGGCGCUAAUCAGUACACUACAUAUUUACCCUUUUUUUUUUACAUGCUGUAUUGUACGGGUACACAUCGUUUGCCCUACAGGCGUUUGCCCUAAACGUAGGGCAAAUGCCUGUAGGGCAAACGACUUUAGGGCAAAUGCCGUUUAGUGCAAACGACUGUAGGGAAAACGCCGGCAAGCACUUUAGUUUUGGAUUAACGAAACCACGCCAACUUUUAGGGCAGACGCCUUUAGGGCAAAUGCCUGUAGGGCAAACGACUGUCGAAAAACUUCUUUUAGGGCAAACGCCUUUAGGGCAAAUGCCGGAGCUUGGUCCGAAUGGGAUUAUCAAACAUUUUGUGCAAACGCCUUUAGGGCAAAUGCCUGUAGGGCAAACGCCUGUAGGGCAAAUGCCUUUAGGGCAAACGCCUUUAUGGUAAACGAAGUUUAGGUUAUUUUGGGUAAUGUAGGUUUUUUCAAUUAUGUAUCGAUUCAAACAGUGUUCUUGUAGUUUAUAUUUCCUCCGCAGGUGGCAGUACCUAAAUAAAUGUUUUCCCUCUAAAUGCAAAGUUUACAAAACCGUCGCUAGAUGGCACUUAUGUAAGCCUAUAUCGAGGUUUGGUGGGAAUUCAUGUGGUAUGAACUUCCUAGAUUCACCAGCAGAUGGUUCCCUGCGCUAAGUUCAAUGUUAUCAAAUAUUUUUUUCUGUAAAAUAUUUCGGAACAUUAGGUGAUGUAAGGUCUUCGACCAAAAAAAAAGUCGUAUAAUAAAAAAACAGUAUUGGCGAUUUAACAAAAAUAUCGCUGGAAAAAGGUUCAACUUUUUUUUCCGGGGAUUUGCUAAUUUCAAUUUCAGCUGUCAGACGCGCAUUACGCUAUGAUUACUUAAAAUAUUACGAGCAUAUAGGUAAAUAAUGCGAAUACUAGCCUUUAAACAUUUUCUUAAUUAGCAUAAUAGUACUAAUGCGGUUAAACUCCUACAUAUUGUUCAUACUUUUUUUAUUCUGGAAUGUAUACACAACAUACAGCUGAAGUACACAAUGAAGAAGUAUUCCAGUUCGUUUUGUUCUGAGUUUUCCAUAAUUUGCAUUUAGUUUGUAAUGUUUGUGUUAGAUCAUUUUGACGUUCAGUUAUAAGAGUUGGCCGAUAAUAGUCAUUAGUUGGCAUGAUUCUUAAAAUAGGCUAUAUCCGUAAUAUAAUAUAUAUUUAAAUAUAUCCAUAUUAUUACCCAUAUUUCCAUAGUGGAUUCCACUUAUAUUCCCAAAGUAAAAUAAUGAAGAUACGUAAUGGUAUUUCUCAAUAAUAAUAAUGUGAUUUUAGCCCACCGCACACAGAACGACUUUCCUUGCGGGAUUGUAUGCAUAUUUGUUUGUUCCACAAUAUUCCUUUCUUUUUCCAAAGUGACUUGUAGUGACGCGAUGUAAUGUUCACACUUACUUAAUAGUUCAUUUUCAGGAAGAUCACACCCUUGUACAUCAGUAACCUUCCCUGAUGAGGAUCCAUAGUCAACAUUUGGUUUAGUCGAUUGAAGUUCACGCCGUUUUAGUUUCAACCGACUACCUAUCUUCUUGGUAAGCCAGUUUACGCUGAGUUGUGCCGUGUCGAAUCUUUUUACGAAUGACUUUCUUGUUUAUUGAACCAGGGCUCCUACCUGACAUUUUUUUGAAAUGACUCUUCUCACAAGCUAAACCUUUCUUGAAUCUUGUCCUGCCAUGUAACAUUUACGCUGAAAAGAGCCUCGCUGUGUCUGUGUGUAGGUAAUUUAUUAUUUUGCGUCCAUUAAAUUUGGCAACGAGGCUCGUAUAGAAUUCUGCAGAAUUACUGGUUUUGUUUUCUUUGAGAUAUCUGUCACAAAAAAAAUGUCUUAUUAAAAAAUUAAAAACCUUUCGUUUGAACAAGAUUGUUUUAGAUAUGGAGCGUCUGUGUGCAUAAUAGUGUGAAAUCAUAUAUCCCAUAAUUAUAAAUGAAAAAUCCCCGAUGGCAGCCAGUCGGAAAGGUAGAUUUCGUCGUGCGGCUUAGCCUACCAAUAUAAAAAUAAACUUUCUGAAAAAUUCCAGAAGUUUCAAUGACUAUGUAAAAUCUUAUGAAUAUUUCUAGAAUAUCCAAUGUAACAAUAAAUUGCAAAUUAAUUGUUGGCUCAACAAUAUGUAUGGGAUAUAAAUCCAAUUCAACAAUACAUUAGACAUUCAUAUUUACCUGAAUUAGAAAUUCUGAAAUUCAUAGGACCUAGAUCGGAGAAAAAAUCGUGUAAUUUUAUGUAAGUCGCUCUGCGAAAUCUACCUAAAAACGAUCUCAGGAGAAAAAAAAUUAUAGUCACGUACAAACUUAAUUUGUGGAGAUGAACUGCAUGUGCACAACUGAUACUAUUUUUGAUACAUGAUUAUUAUGCUAACAGUUUUUGUUAUGGUUUGCUGUCCUGUAAGCCCGCCCCACACGAUGCCCAAUUUCUGCUUUAUAUUCUAUUAUAACCAUGGGUAUAAAAGUGGGUAUAUAAAUUUAAUUAGCAGAAGUGAAGAAAGAAUUCAUUACUCCAUACACACGAUACCCAGAGUUCUAACAAAGAAAACAGCCAACAUAUUUGCCGACCAAGGCAAGCAAGUCGGGUUGGAUAAACCUAUUGCGUACAUUUAACCAAAUACUGAAUAUAUAUAGGUAUAUAUGUGUGUAUAUAUAUAUCGUGCCCACUGUUAAAGUUGUAAGACUGUUUGUGGGCAUGUGACAAAUAUGUAAUUAACUAAAUAAAAUUGCAACGGUUUAUUUUGAAAAUUAUGCAAUUCGGUGAAUUAUUUUUUUAAAUAUUUAUUUUCUAAGCUUCACUUGCAAAAAAUAUAGAGAAGUUGAUUCAGUGUUUAAAAACAAGAUCAUAGCAAUUUUGAAACUAAAUUGUUUUGAAAAUAUAUUAACUAAAAUUGCACUUUUUUUUGCUGAUUCAUUAGCAUUUGAAACAGAGUUAUAUUUAAUGAUAUUUCUUUGUGUAUUAUACUUUUACGUAAUUCAUUAUUGUACAUACCACGACAUAUCCAAAUCGUUCCUAGUUUACACUCAUACCUAUGACAUUCGUUCAAAUCUUGUGGCAAUAUGGAUGAUAUGAUUAAAUGCAUUUUGAAAAGUUGUACAUUUCAUUGGCUGUCACACAUAAAAUCAGUCUUUUAUUAUAGUUCACUUGUUCCCAUAAAACUUAUUAGGGGUUAAGCUAUAGAUGGUCUGGGCGAAUUAGCAAAAUAUGCACACUCUCGAUGAAAGUAUUUUCACCGCAUUCUACAAACAUAUUAAUAAAUCAACAGAUUCAGUUGGGCACAUGUUAUAUAAAAAUUGAAAAUAGGCAUGAAGGUCUCUGAGGCUAUUUUAACAGUAACUUUUAAACGCUGAAAAUGUGUUUAUAAAUGCAUAUGUAUAAUCUUCUGUCUUAAAUUAUUUUAGGGUCAUCGUUUUUAGGACGACUUUAAGUGAAAAUUCCAGCAGGCAAGGAUAAUAAAAUUUUGUAAGCUCCUUUUGUUAACGCUUGUUUUUAUAUAUAGCAGCAAUAUUAAAUUAAGUUAAUUCGUUCGCUAUUUAACCCCCCUCCGCCUUGGAAAAUAUUACAUCAUCAACCUCUCUGUUAAAAAAUGAUUUAAAAAAUACAAUCCAGUCACUGAGAUUGGUGCACCAUCUGUUGUAAGGUUCAAUUACCAGUUGCAUUCUUAGACUUCAACGUUGGAAAAGCAAACCGUAUGUGCUGCCAUCUAAUUUGUGAAUUUUAUACUUUGUACUCAUUUGGAGAAUGGUUCCAACAUUUGUCAACAGGGGCGACACACGUAAGAACAUCUAUCUUCGAAAAGGUUCGUAGGGCAAACGCCUGUAGGGCAAACGACUUUAGGGCAAAUGCCUUUAGGGCAAACGACUGUAGGGCAAACGCCGGCAAGCAUUCAUUUUCGGAUUAUUGAAAAUUCGUAAACUUUUAGGGCAAACGCCUGUAGGGCAAAUGCCUGUAGGGCAAACGACUGUCGAAAAACUUCUUUUAGGGCAAACGCCUUUAGGGCAAAUGCCGGAGCUUGGUCCGAAUGGGAUUAUCAAACAUUUUGUGCAAACGCCUUUAGGGCAAACGCCUGUAGGGCAAACGCCUGUAGGGCAAACGCCUGUAGGGCAAACGACUUUAGGACAAAUGCUUUUAGGGCAAACGCUUUUAGGGCAAACGCCUGUUUGGAAUGAGGAAUGCGAGAAUAUGCUUCGAAAAUGCGUUUAGGGCAAACGCCUGUAGGGCAAACGACGCACUCCCUAUUGUACAAACAAAAAACUUUCUCCAGUGAUUCUUAAAAUAUUUAAGGUAAGUAUUUUCAGGGAAUGCUAUCCCAAUAAAUGUACAUAUCUGCAAAAUAGUUUUUAACCCAUGUCAUUUUGUGUUCGACAGAUAUAAAUUUUGUAUAUGUAGGCCUAGAAUUUAGGACACUGUAUUAAGUUCAGUAUUUUUUUUUUUUUAAAUUCUUCUUGUUUUACGAAUAUUUGCUUCCAAGCUAAUGUAAAUUUGAUCCCCUACUAAUUUAUUUUUAUUCAAAAAUACUACAUUUUAAAGGUAAAUAUAUGCUUUAUUGAUGUAACUUACCUACUUUAUAACGAGAUUCUACUGUGUAUUUUUUAAGAUUCCCCUGCACGUGAUGUUUACCACUGGCCCAUCACCUGGUGUAUCUAUGUAUAUUGUACACGCACAGGUGGUGGCUGGCAGAGACAUCACAAAGUGUGCUUCUACAGCAGCAGAGAGUACUGGGGGACCCAAGCUUUGCAUACUGUUCAGGGCAGUACCAUGACAAAUAUAAUACAUCAACAUGUUUAUUUAAGUAUAACAAGCUGCCAAGAAAUAAAUUUUAUUAGUACGGCAACUGGAAUCUUACGAUUCUGACAGAGAUUUUGCAAACAAAGUUUCAGAAUCAGAGCAAAUUUUAUUCUAGAGCUUUGAUGUGGCCACUGAACCACUGUAGGUAAAUCAUAUUGUUGAUACUUAACCAAAAGAUGCCAAUGUAAUUAUUCAUCAGAAGGUUUCAAACUAUAAUUAAGCAUAUAAAAUGCCCUGCUGAUUGCAAUUAAAUAACAUGAGGCCAGACCAUUUUCAUAUCUGGACAUUCUUAAGCGUAAAUGACCAAAUUUCAACGUGUGGAAUACUUUUAAAAUUAGUUAAGCAACAUAUCAUCCAAGGUUGACUCCAAAGAAUGAAAGAAGAGUUUUAUGAUAAUUUAGUAAACAGGGUGAUGCAGACCAGUUAAGAUUAACAGUUGUUAACUUUAGAAUGCAGAUGGAGACAUAACCUCAGUUGACAAUAAGAAGAGAAUGUAAAACUUCAUGCUCCCAAUGGUGGCAGGUUGGCAUCCUUGCACUAAAACUUUGCUGUAGUUAGUUGAAUUGAAUUCAUGCCUCCAGCAAAAAUAAGUUAUUGCAUAGUCUUUUAGGUAAAUAAAAAUUCCAUUGUACAUUAUUAUGCCUUGACUAAAAAUAUUAAUGUAAAAGUUCAUAAACCAUAUACUGGUUCUGGAGGGAGGACAAAAAAAAAUUGUAAUACCACAUGACAUGCUUCUUAUUAAACCCAACUCUGUCUCUUUGUUUUUAGCAAAACCUGCAAGAGGCAUAAAACCCUUGGGACAUAAAAAUUGAAGGUUAUAGUAAAAACUUACUGAUCUUUUGGGGUGCAUGGCACUGAUUCUCCAUUAGUCUCUUGGGUUGCCCCACUGUUCAAGCCAUGGCACAUGUGCACGCACACACAUCACAGAUACCACCAAUACCUAUGCCAAGAGCUGAAUAUCAGCCAAUAUCAGAUUUUAGAAUCGGUAUUGGAACAGCCAUAAAAACUGAAAACUUACGCAGCAAAUGUUCAGUACAAUAUAUGCGAAGAUUACUUGGAACUCACUUUUACAAACUAUGGCACAAGCAAACAGUUUGAAAUUUAUUCAAUUAUAAUCACUUUUGCAAGACAUUGGUGUUAGUUUAUAUAUAUUGGUUGUGUGUAUACAAUUUUAUUGUAACCACAUUAUGCUUUAUUUGAAUUUGAAUAUGAAUGUUAUCCAAUAAGCUUUUUUUUCACACCUGUUUAUUUUCAAUACAUCUACUGAUAAGUGUAGCAAUAAGUAAAUUAUUUAAUCAUACACACAUACACAAACAGUGUAACAGUUUGGUUCUCUCGUAUUCAAUUUUAACCAGCCAAUGUGUUUUUUGGACUCAUGUCGUAAAAACAAACUGCUGAAUUUGAAAAGACAAACAAAAUCCAAAAGUAUUCACCAGAUCACAGCAGAAAAUGAUAAUCCAGAGUAAAAAUAUGAAAUAAAGGAUCAUAAAUGCAUGAAUAAAUUGACGCCUCAAAGCAAAAAUCAUGUUUAGUCAUAAAGGAAACAACAUAAAAUAAAGGCUAAAUUGCUAUUAAUGUGUUGUUGGUAAGCAUGAGCAGGGACUAGUCAGCUGGGAACCUGCCUGUAGAAGCUUGCAGCAUCAGAUAUGGACUGGGAGUAGAUGCCUCGGUGGGUGUUGGCAAAGUUGAACAGUUGCUUGGCGUGGGUCAGCAAGGUGGCGGAGUAACUGGAGUUAACUGUCUUGAACACGAUAGACGCUGCUGCCAAGGCGGCUGCCGUCUCUCCGGCCAGGUCAGAGCCUGCCACCACAGAAACACUGUUUAGCUUCAAAAGUACUUAAGAAAUGAUACUGAGUUUUUAGUUGCACCAUUUCUGGGUCUCUGUUCUUGAUUUAUUCUAGAAAUGUGAGCCCUAGUACUCAAUAUCACCCCGGGACACAAUGCAGCAAUACAUAUCUUGAAAAGUAUUGAUUGAGAUAAGAAACAAUUAAAAAAAAUAACAAACUCACUUCUGGAAAUGCACAGAAAACCCACAAUACAGACAUUCGUUACGCCAUACCUAAUGCCACAGCUGAUGUUCAUAACGAACACCAUGUGCUGCAAAGUAAGUAUUUCACAGUACAAUUUUGAACUUGAUUACAGGCAUCGUAUAUAUACUUCUUCAACACCUGCAUAUCCAAACCCACGAGCCAUUUAGUCUUCUGCCUUCGUGUCAAGCUGUUCUACCUCAUGCGAAAGAACAAAGAACGUUGUGUAUUAAAGGAGGCAGAGAGUAGUUGUGAUAGCAGCCAAAGGAAUAACCAGAAGCCUAAAAGUCAUUAUUCCAAUUUCUUAAUGGAAUGUUAAAAGUUUGUCAUAUCAUCAGGGGGAAGAAGUUGGGAUAUCAAAUAAUUUUAAUUUAUGAUUGUUUCUUUGACAUUUUGCAUUAUCUAAGUAAGGUAUUAUAUUGAUGUCCCCUGAGCUGUAAGUCCUUUGCAUAAAUACUAAAAAUAUGGAUAAAUAUGAGAAAAAUAAGUAAUAUGAAGUACACAAGUUAAUACAAAUGUAUGAAUAUUGUUACAAAUGUAAAAAUAAAACCAUAAAUUUACCUCUCCACAUCAAAACCUUUCUAGCUAGGCUCUUGUGUAUCAUAAUACCCAUCUGAGUACAACAUACUGCCCACAAAAUUUCUGUCAUAUAAGCCAUGGUUCGUACCCACCCACGUGAGCAAUCUAACAUUAAGCAGUUUUUAAGGAUUCCUUUACGUCAUCAUCUUCAUCACUGUCCAGAGGUAGAAAACUAUUUGUAAUAUCACAAAAGUACCUUAAGAAAAUAACAAUGUUAAAUUAUUAAUGCACAAAAAAAAUUUAGAUGGUUAAUUUGAUUCUUAAAGAUAUGCCCCUAUUGUCCAGAAUUAUCUCUGGAAAACAGCUAACCCAAGCAAUGUCUAUCUGAAUUUUAUACUUCUACUAUUUACUAUGAUCACUAAUUAUAUUUACUUUAAAAGUUCAAAGUAAGACAAUGAAACACACCUUUUUAGUUAAAAGGUGAGAUACAAACUAUUAAAAACAAAUCAUAGGCAUGUCUAAAAUGAGUGUUGAAGCUAAAGCAUUGCCUUGUCAAGCCGUCAGUCAUACCUGGUGCCGAAGUGGUGAUCUUGUAAGCCGGGCGUGCCAUUGUCAUGUCCUCAGGGCGUCCCCAGUAAGCGUGGUCGGAGUUUCCUUCCCCCACCUGGCCAUAGAACUCGUUCUCGCUCACGUGAGCCUUCAAGAAGUAGUCUGUGCCCCACUUGAUUGCCUGCUGGGCGUACUUCAAGUUAUCUGAAAGACACUGCAGUUAGUACGCACUCUUGCUUUCUCUUCAGAGUGAACUGAGGAGUAUGUAAUGAAUGCACUCACUGGUGGACGAGUACACAUCCUCGUAAUCGAUGACACCCCAAGAAAGCACCGUGAUGGUGUAAGCCAUCGGGAACCCGAACUUCACGAAGUCACCAGCUACGCACAAACAAAGACAUCGCAGAAGAAACAAACAAUCACGAUGCAGAGAAACGGUUCACAAAAACAUAAGUACGCAUGCAUUAAAUGUAAAAUCCUCACCAUCGUAGUAACCUCCAGUCAAGUCCUCUCCAUUAUUGCCUUUGUCGUUGAGUGCCGAGUCUUUCCUCCAUGUCACUCUUUGAUCUGAAGGAAGCUUGCCGGACCUCUGAGCCUCGUAGAACAGCAGAGAGUCACCAAGCACCGUCUUGUAGUCAUAGCAUACUGUAGGUGAAAACUAUUUUUAUUUAACUCAUCAUAUAAAGAAUACUAUUUCAAUUUUUAAAAAUCUGUUUAGCCAGUAUAUUUGUAUAAGUUCCAAGUUAUCUAUUGCAAAGAAUGACCCUCUUAUUUAUUGCUGUUUUAGCUAAACUGCAAUAUCUGAAAAAAUUAAACCAAUGUUAGGAGCUAUAAUAUAUUUUUUCCUUUAUAUUAUCAGUUUGUACCUGUGUAUGUGACGCAACACAGAAGCAGAGCACUGCAGACUUGAAGCAUGUACAUUUUGCUGUGUCCUUACCAACACACUGCAGAAAAACAUUAGUUCCCAUGCUCCUUUUAUACAUUCAAGCUAAUGAAAAAAGUUCAAGGUGACACAUCAAGUGAUUAUCAACAACAAAAUACUCCAUCAGCAGUCGUAUCAUAGUCGUACAAAAACUGUAAAUUUACAAGUGGUUAGCAGUUGGUCUUAGAGAUAAAGGCUCCUAAUUUUCUAGAAGAAAAAAAAAACACUCCUGCAAAUGUUUUAUUUCACGCAACUUUAGAGCCUGUUUCACAAUGAUUUUGUUCCUAUUAAGUUCUGAUUAAAUAUUAAGAUUGUCGCCUGUCUCCUUGCCUUAAUGCGUCAUUUACAAUCAGCUCAAGAAUUAUUUAAGGUGUCUGAUUUUGUAUAGCACCUAAGAACCUUGCACUUUCCCUGAGUUUCAUAUUUAAAAUGUGAUCUUUGGCCAGCAAAAAAAGGCGUAAACAGGUGUUUUCACUAGCAUUUUUAAAGUAUGAGAAAUGUUGUGCACAGUGUUGUAAGUAGGAUCGGUAUGUAUGCACAGGUAACCUUUAUAUUUAAUUUUCCACCUUAAAAUUAAGGGUCAAUGCUGAAAGUUGCACAGCAGAGUAUUAUCGACGGUGCCUAGUGCAUGGAGGCAAAGAGACGUAUGGAUGCAUGAUGCAAGAGAAUGUCACCCUUAGCACUCAGCCAGGUCUUCUUAGGUCUUGGUCAGCAAAUUUUUCCAAUUAGAAAUGCACGUUUAGCUGUAAACAGUGAUAAUUUGGCCGGUUUGAGACUACAACACAAUAAUACAUAUAUAAUAUACAAAAGUGCUUUUGUGAUAAGUUUACAGGGAAAGCCCUAAAAUAAUAGUAAUGAUAAGAAAACUAAAUAACCAACAUGGCAUGUGAAACAGCACCUUAAUGCGUCAUUCCAAAAAAAAAUUCAGCAACUUUUAUGACAAAUGAAAACAUGUACCUAAUCUUAAGGCUUGGAUUCUUCCAUAAUUUUAAAUUACUGCAUAUACAUGCUAUUAUUUUGUAUCCAAGAGAAUUAACAAAGAAUUUCCACAGUAAAAUCAUCAAAUUUUCUAUAUUGUAACAAAUAUAUGUUAAAUGUUGUUAGCUACUUGUUAAAAGUUAGGCAAAUUAUCAUACAAAUUAUUACCUGAUUAAUUGGUCACUGUCGCUCACAAAGAUUAUUUUCUGGACUCUCACAGUUGAGAAACUCAUACAAAUGGCUCAUUUAUUCACAUUUUUAAAUUUUAUUCAUAAAAAUAUUAAACUAGAAAAAUAUAAAAAUUCAACAUCAUGGGUGAAGCACUUGCCAUAAUGAUAUAGAAUUGGUACAGAUAUUGUAAGGCAUAAAUUAAUUAUACCGAUCUAAAUGAUCCCUCUACAAAAAUAAAUAGACCAAUUUUAACGAAACUUAAUUUAUUUUGUGGUUAAGUUUUCAAGCACAAAUCCUACUUAAACUGCAGAAAAUCAGCAUAAAAUUACUGCACCCAGGAUUAUUACAUGCGAGAUUCCAAGCCUCUCAAACUGCACUGAGUAUGUGCAAGAUUAAGCAUGACUGUAGCUACACAUAAAUGGGCAUAAUGAUAAAUGAUUUUGUAUGUCAACCAACACCAGUGUAGAUAAUCAAAAUAAUCAAAUAUGAUUUAAUUUUUUUUUAAACGAAAACUAUGCAUGGAAGUAAAAUCAUUUUGCUACUACUAGAAUCAUUGUAUUUAAAAAAAAGUAAGAUAUGAGCUAAGUCAAAUUACAUUUAAAAUUAAAUUCCUAAAGCAUAAAACAGCCUAGAGGUUUAUAGUCACAUAAGAUUUGGAGAUGACAAAAAGAUUUUCUUGAAGUGCACAAUUUAAAUUUAGAGAAAUCUACAGAUAACACUGUGAUAACAAGUCAUCGGUGAACUUUCUUUAUAAGGAAUCAUGUUCAUGUGGCGUGAUAACUGAUAACAAUUUUUUUUUUGUUUGAGUGAGAGAAAACUACUUAAAAUCUAGGCAUCAAGUUAUCAGGAGGUUUCAUAACCUUGAAUCAUAAAACUUAUCACAAAAUAAUAGCGAUAUUAUAAAGUUAAGUUUUUAUCUAUGUAGUUUUUGUCGAUCUGGUGUGAGAGGACACUUUUGAGUAGCCAUCAUCAUAGGCCACGAGUUCAAAGCCCACGAAAUAAUUUGAAUGUAGGUCUGUUAGCGAACGAAGAGAGGAUUAACGUCUUAAUGAUAUUGGUUCAUUGAGGCGGUGAGGGGAGGGAUGAGAAUGGAGGAAUGACAAUCAAUUGGUGGAAGAAAUGGAAGUACCCCAGAAAAACCUCACCGGCUCACUUCAACAUCCUCCACGUUUCCCACUUGACCCAGUCGUGAAUAGAACCCAGAUCACCUAGUUGGAAGGCAAAUGAUCUGACCGCUCGACCACUGUAGGCCCUGCAGUAGGCUCUUGUGCAUUGUUUUGAAAAUGUAACUUCAUUCUACUGCUAGUUUAUUUUUUUGGUACUAAGCAGUUGAUUUGCAUAAGAAACAGUAACUCUGGAAAAAAAAUAGUUAAAUGUUCAAAAGUCAAAUAACAGUACAAUUUCCAAUAAGAACUACUACGGUAGAGUUCUCAAAAAUUUCAAUGUCUUCAGGUUAAGUUAUUUUGGGGAUGCACAGACUACAAAACCAUUUAAAAUUACCUACUUCACCUCAAGAAAUUUCACUGCACGAUUCUAUUUCAAAUAUUUUGCUAUACACUUUUGCAAGAGCUUAUUUACAUACAAAUUUUAAGCAGAAAGAGGUUUGGACUGCGAUGACACUCUACUCUCAUUCUGAUCGCCAUAGGCAAAACUCCAAAUUCAACACAAAAUUAAAUUUUUUUAAAAAUAAGAACAUAAUUUUGAUCACAGUUGUUUUUUAUAAGUUAUCUUAUCUGGUAACUAAAUCAAAAAAGCUCUUCUAAUGUGAUCAUUGAACUUUAGCAAUCAAGUGUUUACAUGAAAAAAUAAGCUAAUUUAAAAGUGUUUUUAAAUAACUGUACUAACUUUCUUUCCUUUUUUUAAUGUUUCUACUUUGUUAUUUCAUUUUAAACACCAUACUGAUUAUGUGGGUAAAACUAAAGUUUUUUUUUUGUGUGAGCAAUUAGCAUGCCCACCACCCAUGUCUAACGACUGUCGGUGGGCAUGUCACAAUUCUAAAUAAAUAAAUAAAUAAAUAAAUAAAUAAAUAUGUUUAGAAGUUAAGGGAAAACAGGUCAACAAUUAUGACUAUGUAAUAUAAGUGAAUGUUGGUACUUCACACACCAAAAUAUAAUGAAGAAAUAAAAUAAUGAAUAAACAAAUGAAUGAAUGGAAUGUUUAACGUCUGGUCGACAUUGAGGUGAAUAUAGAUGAUGUGGUGUGAUAAGAGCAUUGAUGGAAUUAAUGGUGAAGGAAAAGAAAGUACUCUGUGAAAACCUGACACUCAACAAUGUCCACCCCGUUUCAAACUUGCAAAAAAUCCAGUUUCAACCAGCAGAGUAUUGAACACAUUGCUUUAGAGGGAGGCAAGAAGUCUGACUACUAAAACUCUGUGGUCCAAAUCAUUUAAGGGUCCGCCUGCCUGGCAUUAUUAUUACUGUUUUUAUUUUGACCAGAACAACGAAGCACCAACAUCGACACUGGCGUGCAUGUUAAUUUCCCAGUCGCAUAUACGAGCAGGCUGUAAACAUGCAUUCAAGAGACUUAAAGCAAUUACCCUAAAAAUGUUUUGUAGGAAGGUGUGUAACAAAUCCCUUGGGUUGCUUCACAAAUUUUAAGUUGGAAGAUUCUGAGAUACAAUAGUGAGAAAAUAACCAUUUUGACUAACGUAUCACCCCUACGUAUAGGUGACAUCUACAAUUUAUGGGAUAAAAAUUUAACAUUUUCCACGAUAAGACACCCUUGAAUAUGGGCCACACCACAUAUUUGUCUUUAAUAGAAGCCUGUAAAUAUAAGUGAAGACUUUGUGUACUGCGUCACAGCUUAUUUGCGAGUAGGCAUUACGGCACUGAUGUCUGCUUUAUUACAAGAGAGGGCCCCCUCCUUCAAGGCCAAGGCAACUCCAUGCUGGUCAGGCAGAUCCUGAAACAUGUGGCAGCAGUAUGGGACCAAUGCCUGGUGACGGAGGUACGAGUGUUAGAGAAGGUACAGCGCAGGUCAGCAAGAUGGGUCAUCGGUAUGUGGAGUACAAGGGGAGGGGAAGAGGGUGAAAUGUACAGGCCAUCUGUGAUAAUCAGAGAACUGGGGUGGAGAGAUUACAGGGGUGGUGAGUAUAAAGGUUGGUAAGGUUCUUAAUGGUGAGAAAGAUCUGGGGAAAGUUGAGGAACAGUUUACACAGAGGGAGAAGAGACAAUGAGUGGAAUAUGCAAAAGGUGUGGAGGCAAACAAAACGGGGAAAGCUUUCGUUUUUGGUGAGAACAGGGUGGGAGUGGAAUGGGUAUCAGGGGAAGGAAAGGAACUGAAAGGGGUGAGGGAACUAAGAAGUAAGCUUAAAGGUGAGUGGAAGAGAAGUAUGGAGAGCUCCUUGCAACCAGGUGAAAGCCCAAUUGCAAGAUGUAAAUUGAUAUUCAAAAAUAAAGCCAGCUUUAAACUAUACAAGUUGUGGAACAGAAACAGUGUGUCACGAAGUAACUUCAGUGGGGCUAGAAGAAUUUGAAUUUGUACUUCACAGCAUCACGGAUCUAAGCCGGAAAGUUUCCACAAAUUAGAAAUGGAUGCUGUAGUACGUGCGCGAAUAGCAUAACACGAACUCAUGAAAUGUUUUAGUUGCAUUGCACAUGAAAACAAUACCUAUUGGCUGAAGCACAGUUCAAAACAAGUGGAUAACACAAGCUUUGUGCAUCAUAAAAACAUGGGAUAGAUACGUGCAAUGCAAUCUCUGACAUUUACAACUGUUUGAAAGGGAGGGAGAACUAUCAACACUACUUAAGAUAUAAUCAUGUGUGUUCAUAAAUGCACGUACCAAACUCUAGCUGUUUUAUUUUUAGAUUUUUCCCUCUAGCUGAAUACCGGCAUGGCAGACAGUUUCAUCACUUGCAGGGCGCAGGACGGUCAGCUAUGCCAGCAGCAGACAUAGCAAUGUAUAGACGCAGUUCAUGAUGCUUCGCGUGCAAUGCUGAGAGAUUUGAAAGAUAACAAUCUUUACUUAUUUAUGAAGUUAUAUUUAUUAAAAACCAGCACAUGCUUACUAUUUACACACAUUAAACCAUACAUUGUUAUGUUAAAUUUUUUUAAAACUGAAGUGGGAAACUUGUUUAAGGAUCGCACUUUGACCAACAAAGUUUGCAAAUAACUGCGAUCUACGUUGUCAUAAGUCAUGAUUUACAGUAUUUAGAACCUUCAGCGGCAAUAACUGUUGAACACAACUUUGAACACAACCUGUUUGUUUGUGACUGUUAUAUUAACCCGCCACUGGUUGCACAAGAGUAUUUUUCCCACCUUCCCCUCCUUUUAAAAAAAAUGUAUCUUAAAUUAAAAAAAAAUACUUAUACUACUUUGUUAUUUAUUUUGUAUAUUUUAAGCCCUAAAUUAAUUUUGAUAUUGCACUUACAUGAACAUAAAAAUUUAAAAACAAAACCUAUUUAAAUAUACAGUCAAACCUCUCUGAAACGACCCCUCACAGUUCCCAGGAAUAGGUUCGUAAUAGAUGUUUUCCGAAAUUUUCAGUUUAUUUCAACCCCCCAAACCGCUACUCGCUAAGAAACUAGCCGUACAAUGGCAGGAUGCUGUCACUCACAAUGCUAAAUGGCUUUGCUUUAAACCCACUUCAACCUUCUGACAAGUCCCUCGCCCUACAGGCCACCUCUAAAGAAAAUAUGUCAAAAUACAGUUUACUUUUACUGGUUAGUUUACAUGUACGUUUUCUGCUUGCCGUAGUUAAAUACACUAGAACCCCGAUGUCACGAACCCCGGAUUUAACGAAGUAGUGAUUUUACGAAUACAUUCUCAGGAACCGUCAAAAAAUCUGAUAUUUUGGUACCAAAACAAAAAUAAUUGGGGAAAAAAUGGUAAAACUCACAAUAAAAGGUUAUACAAAGUCAUUAUUUAACACGCAGCAUAUAUUUUGUGUGGGUUUAUAAUAAUAGUACUAAUGUUCAUAUAAGAGAAAAAAAAAUCGGACAUUCUGCUUAAAAAUACGGCAGCAGUAGCUUGUGCAACGUAAGUGGAAGCGCGGGAAUCUCGUCUAUACAGGCUGGCGCCUGGCGGCAGCACAGGCGGCGGAUGCAUGACGUCAUACGGCCUACCUCUCCUUCCCUUGUCCAGACUUCAAGGUUCAUCCCUCCCAGGCAUACCAACCAUCGUGUCUAUCUCCCCCUCCUCCCUAAACGUCCUUUGGCAUGUGAAACUGUCAACAUCCUUCCUCCCCUGCGUGCGACGAAAGACAGGUUUGUAUAGUCCAUUUCUAGUAAAAUGAAAAACUUUUAAGGGCCCCCGCAACAGCCAUUUACCGUUAAUUGUUUUGAUACAAUUUGUUUGUUAGUUACACAUUAUUUCCGCUGGAAAAUCACUGAAACUUCAAAGUUUCUUUAAUGGAAAAAUUUAGCAGGGCCGUAAAAGUAUUCAUUUUUACCGCAAAUGAACUAUACUCGCCCUUCCUGCCGGACAACAUUCUGGGCGCGUGACGCAUGGCAACUACAGUCGUGUGCCGCGCACAGCCACGAAAAACCUACGCGAUUUCCAAACUACACUAGAUUUCCGACUGGAGUCUGUUGACAAAAAGCAUUUAAGAAUUUGUUAAUGCCCAACUGGUUCUUUUGAUAUCGGAUCAAGAGGAUUUAGAGGAGAUAAAAUGGCUAAAAGGCAUGUUUUCGAAGUUUUAGGUGUAAAAAACCAGUUACAAAUUUCUUGAAAGUAUCAGAGGGAAAUGCAUUAAACCUUUAUCUUUAUUUUUCCGCCAUAUAAUGUUACGGUCACCGCUCAAAUUUCACAGUUAUCUGACGGGAACGAGAUGACUGCGCGCCAGUUCAGAGCCUUGCACUUAGAUAUUUUACCGCGCUAGAACUACCAUUGAGUAUCCCUCUUAUCAUCCCGCUUCACUAACACACGCUGACCAGACGGCGCCCUAAAGCUGAUUAGAGGAAGCACAUAGAAAUGCAAGGCAGGAAAUUCUUCCAGCUUAGCAACCAGGACCCGGGCAAGUCUUGACUAUCAAGCUUUUCACAUUAAAAUAUAAGAGACUUGUACUGUGUAAUUUCGGCGUUAUUUAGCGGUUUUUCUAAAAAAUAGCUUUUUUCGCAUUUUCCAUAUAAAUUUGCGGAAAAUUUCGCGAUUCACCAUAUAAUCGUGGCCCUAAUAAUGGGACAUUUCCUUUAUAAAUAUGGCAGCUGUAGGUUCUGCAACGCGAGUGGGCGCACACGAAGCUCGCCCGGCUGGCUGGUGGCAGCGGCCAAAUGCGUGGUCGCUUCGUUAUUGCUCGCGCGAGAGGUGAGACGUGGAAUGUUAGAAGAAAGAUAAAUGUGGGGGAGACUGACGGCAGCCAGUGUGUUUCCUGCGUGGGCGUGGGAAAUAAGUGGCGUAGCCUUUUUUUUAUGCUGGGUGAAGCGACCUUUUUAUAUCAGCCCAAGGGAAAAGAUAAUUGCUUGAGCUGUCAAAAUAAACAUCGCUGCGGCAGUUAAAACAAGUCGAGGCGGGCGUGCAUCCAGUCGGUCGCUGUGUAUUGUCAACCGAUAGUAAUCAAAAUCAAAAUAAAUCCAGCAGGUAGCUUUGCCUUAACUGCGUACCACACUAGACACUCGCAAAAAGCUAAACGUAAACACGUUGCCACAAAAACCUUUAUCUGCACCCUGCCGGCAAAGGGACGUGGAAUGGAGGUUGUCAAGCGCACAGCGGUCGACAGGAAGUGGUAUCUAUUUUUAGAUAUGCGCUGCCUACUGCAGUAAAGCACUCGGCAAGAGAAAUGCAGUAACACGCUACCCACCACAAGAAACUUAUUUUCUGUCCGAUUUUCUUCGGAUUUUCGGCAAUUUUUUCACGUUUCCUCGAAAUAGGGUUGUAAUAGAGAGGUGGUCGCAUUAAAUGGGGUCGCAACAAAAAGGUUUUACUGUUUAUAGUUUCCUUUUAACUCUUAACAAUUAUGCAUAAGUAUGAAUUAAGUCUGUGAAAAUAAUUUUAAAUCAAACUAAAUUAUAAAAUAUAGUUAUAAGUUAAGUCUUUAACCACACAGAAUUUUUAUUUUCGUAGAUUUGGCAAGUUUACACAGAUAGGUGCCUCAUAUGUUGCGCACAAUUUUGUAGUUUUCAGUUUUAUUUUUGCAAGUAAAAAUUAACAAAUCUCAUUUUCAGGAAAUAUUUCCUGCAUCAAUGAAAAUGAAAAAUAAAUAAAUAAAAUAAACUUAAUCUACAGUGUCCCCUACAGUGAUAAUCUUCUCCACCAAACCCCUUCGGUUUCACGGACACUGCUGGUCGCGCGUCAAUAAAAGUUCUUACAUACUACACACUCCUGUAAACAGAGAACUGUCUCAAGGUCAACAAUACAUCACUCCUCACAACCAAUCUGGUUGCUGUACAAUGAAAGAUGAAAACUCAUAUAGACCAGAGGACAAGGCUGUCCCAACUCGUCUUCAAAAAUAAAACCAUAUUUUUUAGUGCAAGAGAAAUACUCAUAGCGCGACCAAUGUCGGGUUAUCAAAAGUAUUACUCAAAUUAUUGUCUGCUAUAAUUUGCUUUGUACAUAUAGUGUUAACAGUUAACAUUUUUGUUAUUUGCAAAUCAUUUUAAAAAAAAUGUAAUAAAUGACCUUGUUACAGAGAAAUUCUACUUUCAGUUCACAAAAUACAUUUAUUGAAAUCACAAAAUAUACAUAAAAUAAAAUCCUCUAAAAUAAAUGUGUACAAGAAAUAUAAUUUCACAAAUUCAUAAGAAAUAAAUAAUACAUUUGAUAUUAUAAUUCAUUACCGUGACAAAGGUAUUUCAUAUAAAACUUUCGAAGAAGCAUCUUUUUAUAGCUGGGCCUUGGUUGGUUAUGGGUUACUACAAAAGUUGCAAACAAUAAAAUAACUUCAAAACUUAAAAAAUUACACUUCUGGGUGGUAAAAACAUUCUCUUCACACCAAAUAAUUUUCACAAAAAAACACAUUUUUCUUAAAAUUGUAGAAAACUUAACUAUGAUUUUGGCUUAAUACUGUGAUCUGAAUGAAAAAUGCAUUAAAAUUAAGAGCGACCUAAACAAUAUAAAAAUGGCAAUACCACCAAAGUUAUGGCAUGCAGAAUAUCUGCAACACUGCCUGUAAAUUAGUAUAUACGUUAAACAAAAUACAAGAUAAACAUUAUUUAAAUUUCAUUAAUAACACAGUUAGCCAUGCAGGAACUUACUCAAUGCACAGAAAAUUAAAAUUUCAAUUCCAGCCAACUGCAAUAGAGGUUUUUGUGUUUCCUUUGUGGCUUUCUGUUUCCACUCUAUGUCAAAUAAUAAAAAUGUAUGUUCUGUGAUCUGAUAAAAUGUUUUGAGUAGUCCAUCGACCAUCACACUUUGAAAUAAAAAAAAAUUCUCAAUGCAUUAUAUAGAUUUCAGUUGAAUAUAAAAUUAUGAUCAAUAAUACAUUAAUUUUUACAAAAAAAUCAAAACAGAGCCAAACAAAAAGUCAACAGUUGUCCACAACAUAACAUUAAUAGACAAAAGACUAUGAGCAAAGGCUAAAAGUAGCAUGCAAAACAGAGCUAAAUUAGCCUUUUGUAUUUCAUGUCUUUUUAAAUAGUUAAAUGAUUGUUAUCUGUGCUGUACAUUACCAUUACAGAAAAAAAGAUAAAAAUAUUAAAUGCAUACCAGCUUUUAUUAUUAUUUAUUAUUGCAUGGUCACAUGGACCCACCUCUCCCAUUAAAUAGGUUAAUUCUAAAUAAAGCCCCUCUUCCCCAUUCUGUUUUCAGUAUAAGCUAUUGCAUACCAUUAUAGUAUGUAAUAUUUUAUAUACAAUUUCCAGCUGAUAGAACAAAUAGAAAUGCCAUAAAUACUUGUUCAAUAUGUAGUGUGUAAUAUGCGUGAAAUAAAUGGUACCGACCAAUGCAAAAACAAUAAAAAAAAUUAUGCAUAAAUUAACAGUGUUUCAAAUCCAUGCAAGCUAUGGAAUCAUGUAAAUAAACAAUGAUAUUAUUUACAACCUCUGUUGCUCAAACAUAAUUGAAAUGCAAAUGGGCAUGAUAGAAUAAUUUUAAUAAAUGGUAGUUCACAGACAUUUGAUGGGGAAAAAUAUUUAAUGUCAAUUAAUUAUUGAUGAUUUCAAAUCAACCAUCAAGAACCAUAUGUGAUGGCGCUUGAACUACGCAUGACGUAGUACAAAUAUAAAAUAACUAAGUGAAAAAUUAUAUUUUUCAGUUACUGCUCAAAGCACAUAAUGUGUCCUGUCAGAUGUACAGUGUUCAGUGCAGAAUGUGUUGUGAACAUUACAGCCAACUUAAAUUACGUAUGAAUUAAUUUAGAAAUUUUGGGAAAUGGACAUAUUCAGCAACUGCAUAUAACAUACGAUACCUCCACUGUAGUAGUACAGUGUGAAUAAAUUAUUUUCAAAUGACCUAUUUACUGUUUACAUUUUUAAACACUUGGAAAAAUCCUACCAGACAUGCACAUGAAUAACUUUUGACACUGAGUGUUUGUUUGAAACCAGUUUUUGCAUGUAAUUAGAUAUUGUGAAACUAGUUUUAGAAUAGAGUAAGUGAAAAUGUGUAAUGGAAUAACGUUAGGUGGAAAUGUGCAAAUGAACAUCGAAAGGAAAAUCAUCAGUGGAUGCUAACUGUAGCAUCGCAAUGAGUUAUGGUGCCUAACUGGUGAAGUUGUCGACAGUUGCUUGGCACAUGUGGAGGAGGUUCCUCCGCCGAAUUUCUCCCUGUACUCGCUCAUCCAUAUGCUGCUGUGAUUCACUCCGUACUGCAACAAUCGCACACAUCUCUCAUUCCAACACCAUCUGCUGUUGUCAUGGUAGGACUUGUAUGCUUACGCAUAACUCAAUCCCUUUUGUAGGCUUCAUGUAGUUCAUUAAUGUAAAUAUAAGUGAGUCAGUCAUCUUUACAUAACUAACCUGUGUGUGUCUAAUAUUGUGAUUCAAAUUUUGUUUGUAAUAUUAAUAAACUUCAAUUAAAAUUUA